rnacentral:rRNA from 1 species
UGGGGAAUAUUGCACAAUGGAGGGAACUCUGAUGCAGCAACGCCGCGUGCGGGAUGACGGCCUUCGGGUUGUAAACCGCUUUCAGCCAUGACGAAGCUUUUGUGACGGUAGUGGUAGAAGAAGCACCGGCUAACUACGUGCCAGCAGCCGCGGGGAUACGUAGGGUGCGAGCGUUGUCCGGAAUUAUUGGGCGUAAAGAGCUUGUAGGCGGUUUGUCGCGUCGAUAGUGUAAACACGCAGCUUAACUGUGUGCCUGCUGUCGAUACGGGCUGACUAGAGGAGGGUAGGGGAGAAUGGAAUUCCCGGUGGAGCGGUGGAAUGCGCAGAUAUCGGGGGGAACACCAGUGGCGAAGGCGGUUCUCUGGACCUUUCCUGACGCUGAGAAGCGAAAGCGUGGGUAGCAAACAGG